GAAGGUAUAGCUCAGUGGUAGAGUGCGUGCUUAGCAUGCACGAGGUCCUGGGUUCAAUCCCCAGUACCUCUA
rnacentral:tRNA from 1 species